CCUACGGAGGGCAGCAGUGAGGAAUAUUGGUCAAUGGGCGCGAGCCUGAACCAGCCAAGUAGCGUGAAGGAUGACUGCCCUACGGGUUGUAAACUUCUUUUAUAAAGGAAUAACGUGAGGCCCGUGUUCCUUUUUGUAUGUACUUUAUGAAUAAGGAUCGGCUAACUCCGUGCCAGCCGCCGCGGUAAUACGGAGGAUCCGCGCGUUUUCCGGAUUUAUUGGGUUUAAGGGGAGCGUAGAUGGGUUGUUAAGUCAGUUGUGAAAGUUUGAGGCUCAACCGUAAAAUUGCAAUUUAUACUGGCAGUCUGGAGUAAAGUUGAGGUAGGCGGAAUUCGUGGUGUAGCGGUGAAAUGCUUAGAUAUCACGAAGAACUCCGAUUGCGAAGGCAGCUUACUAAACUGCCACUGACAUUGAUGCUCGAAAGUGUGGGUAUCAAACAGGAGUAGAUACCCGUGUAGUC
rnacentral:rRNA from 1 species